ensembl:lncRNA
CAGGUGGAGCUGUGACGAUUGUGUGGACAAGAACGUUGAACCGGAUGCAGGGAAACCGAGAAGACGCUCGUUCACCAUGACGUCCCCCUCGCCUUCAUCUCAACCAUAGGAACACACACACACACACACAUAUACGCAGAAGAACACACACCAUCACACUACAGCCCAGGUGUGUCAGGGUUUGCUUUGAGGGAUCAUGUCUGUGGUCUUCACUCCCGAAGGGAUGAAGGAGGGCGACGGCUCUCUGUCCACCGAUGCUUCCGCGGGCAUCCGUGGCAAAAGCAGCCCGACGGCACCCGCAAAAGACGGCAACUCCGACAGCACAGAACCUGACGACAACCUUUCCCAGGAUGCACAGCGGCGCUGUCAGAAUCACGGCCACACUAGGAAACGAGCAAAGGUAAAGCAUGCAACGACACACAGCAUGUGCAUGACUUGUUUAUACGUUACUUUUCAAUGCAAAAAUCAUAAUUAACAUCUCAAUUGUAUGCAAUUAAAAUAAAUAAAUAACACCGUUAUCCA